AAUGGCAACUAUAGCUAUAGUGACACACCUCUUAAACCAUUCCGAACAGAGAAGUUAAGCCUAUACACGCUGAUGGUACUGCAUGAAUGUGGGAGAGUAAGACGUUGUCAGAG
rnacentral:rRNA from 2 species